rnacentral:rRNA from 1 species
AUUGAACGCUGGCGGCAGGCCUAACACAUGCAAGUCGAGCGGAUGAAGGGAGCUUGCUCCUGGAUUCAGCGGCGGACGGGUGAGUAAUGCCUAGGAAUCUGCCUGGUAGUGGGGGAUAACGUCCGGACACGGGCGCUAAUACCGCAUACGUCCUGAGGGAGAAAGUGGGGGAUCUUCGGACCUCACGCUAUCAGAUGAGCCUAGGUCAGAUUAGCUAGUUGGUGGGGUAAAGGCCUACCAAGGCGACGAUCCGUAACUGGUCUGCGAGGAUGAUCAGUCACACUGGAACUUGAGCACGGUCCAGACUCCUACGGGAGGCAGCAGUGGGGAAUAUUGGACAAUGGGCGAAAGCCUGAUCCAGCCAAGCCGCGUGGGUGAAGGAGGUCUUCGGAUUGUAAAGCACUUGAAGUUGGGAGGAAGGGCAGUAAGUUAAUACCUUGCUGUUUUGACGUGACCAACAGAAUAAGCACCGGCUAACUUCGUG